UUUUUGUUUUGUUUUGUUUUUCCCGAGAUGGAGUCUCGCUCCAUCACCCAGGCUGGAGUUCAGUGACAUGAUCUCAGCUCAGUGCAAUCUCUGUCUCCCAGGUUCAAGCGAUUCUCCUGCCUCAGUCUCCCAAGUAGAUGGGAUUACAGAUGUGCACCACCACGCCUAGCGAAUUUUUGCAUUUUUUCAGUAGAGAUGGGGUUCAACAUGUUGGCCAGGCUGGUCUCAAACUCUUGACCUCGUGAUCUGCCCACCUCAGUCUCCCAAAGUGUUGAGAUUACAUGUGUGAACCACCACUCCCAGCCCCAAUCAUUCUUUUUGAAGCUCAAAAAAUCUCAUCUUAGACCUAAAAUACUUCAGGCUAGCACCUAUGUCUAUCUGAUCAGCCCUCAUCAUGUUUAUAGCUUUUUAUCUCAGGCACUACAAAGCAGCUUAGGUAAUUUCCUGCUUCUACAUAGAAUCACUUCUAGGCACCCUAGAUUUCUUUUCUUAAUGGUACUUAGACACCAAUAUCUUGUUUAUAAGGAGUGUUCAUGGCUAUUAUGUUGUUACUGCCUACAGACUUUUUCAAUGGAGAGAGCUAGGAUACACUAAUUUUAAAGAGGAAAAUAAUAAAGUCACUUAAUAUAUAUAUUAUAUCUACUUUAAAUUGGGAGUAUAUCUACUUUAAAUGGAAAAAUGCAGUUUUGCUAUUUUUUAAAUUUUCUUAAUUGUACCUUUUAAAAAUAUUGAAACAUUUUAGAUAUUAAAAACAGUGAUGCCCUGGACUAUUUCAAUUACCUUGCAACAUAUUUAUAAUCACUUCAAAUGCACAACAACAAUAUUAUUACUAUCAAAGAAUGACUGAAUGUGGUGUAAGAUUAUUUGCAGUUCUGUGUUUCUAAUGUUAGGUACUUAAAUAGACGUUAGCCGCUGGGAGGGAAUGAAAGAGGAGAGCAGAAAGACUAUCACUAAGACACCCCCUAGCCCACCAACGUUCAGCCCCAAGACCUCCCUAACUUCACCCUAAUGGAUGGAGUUUGUGGUAAAGUCUGUGGCCAGCACAUCUUGUAGAAGGAUAAACUAGGGCACAGGUGGAAAUUCCCUAAAGUGGCACAUGCCCAGUAACAUAGAAAUAUGUCCUUAAGCUAACUCCAAGCUCAUCAUACCAUCAUUAUAAUAAAAUUUAUAUGUGAUUUUAUCCCCUCUCUGAGUGGACUUUUCUGUACGAAUUAUGGC
rnacentral:lncRNA from 1 species